rnacentral:rRNA from 1 species
GCUAGCUACAGGCUUAACACAUGCAAGUCGAGGGGCAGCAUUUCAGUUUGCUUGCAAACUGGAGAUGGCGACCGGCGCACGGGUGAGUAACACGUAUCCAACCUGCCGAUAACUCGGGGAUAGCCUUUCGAAAGAAAGAUUAAUACCCGAUGGUAUAAUCAGACCGCAUGGUCUUGUUAUUAAAGAAUUUCGGUUAUCGAUGGGGAUGCGUUCCAUUAGGCAGUUGGUGAGGUAACGGCUCACCAAACCUUCGAUGGAUAGGGGUUCUGAGAGGAAGGUCCCCCACAUUGGAACUGAGACACGGUCCAAACUCCUACGGGAGGCAGCAGUGAGGAAUAUUGGUCAAUGGGCGCAGGCCUGAACCAGCCAAGUAGCGUGAAGGAUGACUGCCCUAUGGGUUGUAAACUUCUUUUAUAUGGGAAUAAAGUUUUCCACGUGUGGAAUUUUGUAUGUACCAUAUGAAUAAGGAUCGGCUAACUCCGUGCCAGCAGCCGCGGUAAUACGGAGGAUCCGAGCGUUAUCCGGAUUUAUUGGGUUUAAAGGGAGCGUAGGUGGACAGUUAAGUCAGUUGUGAAAGUUUGCGGAUCAACCGUAAAAUUGCAGUUGAUACUGGCUGUCUUGAGUACAGUAGAGGUGGGCGGAAUUCGUGGUGUAGCGGUGAAAUGCUUAGAUAUCACGAAGAACUCCGAUUGCGAAGGCAGCUCACUGGACUGCAACUGACACUGAUGCUCGAAAGUGUGGGUAUCAAACAGGAUUAGAUACCCUGGUAGUCCACACAGUAAACGAUGAAUACUCGCUGUUUGCGAUAUACAGUAAGCGGCCAAGCGAAAGCAUUAAGUAUUCCACCUGGGGAGUACGCCGGCAACGGUGAAACUCAAAGGAAUUGACGGGGGCCCGCACAAGCGGAGGAACAUGUGGUUUAAUUCGAUGAUACGCGAGGAACCUUACCCGGGCUUAAAUUGCAUUUGAAUAUAUUGGAAACAGUAUAGCCGUAAGGCAAAUGUGAAGGUGCUGCAUGGUUGUCGUCAGCUCGUGCCGUGAGGUGUCGGCUUAAGUGCCAUAACGAGCGCAACCCUUAUCUUUAGUUACUAACAGGUCAUGCUGAGGACUCUAGAGAGACUGCCGUCGUAAGAUGUGAGGAAGGUGGGGAUGACGUCAAAUCAGCACGGCCCUUACGUCCGGGGCUACACACGUGUUACAAUGGGGGGUACAGAAGGCAGCUACCUGGUGACAGGAUGCUAAUCCCAAAAGCCUCCCUCAGUUCGGAUCGAAGUCUGCAACCCGACUUCGUGAAGCUGGAUUCGCUAGUAAUCGCGCAUCAGCCAUGGCGCGGUGAAUACGUUCCCGGGCCUUGUACACACCGCCCGUCAAGCCAUGAAAGCCGGGGGUACCUGAAGUACGUAACCGCAAGGAGCGUCCUAGGGUAAAACUGGUAAUUGGGGCUA